AGAGUUUGAUCCUGGCUCAGGACGAACGCUGGCGGCGUGCCUAACACAUGCAAGUCGAACGGACGGCGAGGAGCUUGCUCCUCAAAGUUAGUGGCGGACGGGUGAGUAACGCGUGAGUAACCUGCCUUACAGAGGGGGAUAACGUUUGGAAACGAACGCUAAUACCGCAUAAUGUAUCUGAUAUCGCAUGGUAUUGAUACCAAAGAUUUUAUCGCUGUAAGAUGGACUCGCGUCUGAUUAGAUAGUUGGCGGGGUAACGGCCCACCAAGUCGACGAUCAGUAGCCGGACUGAGAGGUUGAACGGCCACAUUGGGACUGAGACACGGCCCAGACUCCUACGGGAGGCAGCAGUGAGGGAUAUUGCACAAUGGGCGCAAGCCUGAUGCAGCAACGCCGCGUGAGGGAUGACGGUUUUCGGAUUGUAAACCUCUGUCUUUGGUGAAGAUAAUGACAUUAGCCAAGGAGGAAGCCACGGCUAACUACGUGCCAGCAGCCGCGGUAAUACGUAGGUGGCGAGCGUUGUCCGGAUUUACUGGGUGUAAAGGGAGCGCAGGCGGGACUGCAAGUCAGUGGUGAAAUGUAUGGGCUUAACCCAUAAACUGCCAUUGAAACUGUAGUUCUUGAGUGAAGUAGAGGCAGGCGGAAUUCCGAGUGUAGCGGUGAAAUGCGUAGAUAUUCGGAGGAACACCAGUGGCGAAGGCGGCUUGCUGGGCUUUUACUGACGCUGAGGCUCGAAAGUGUGGGGAGCAAACAGGAUUAGAUACCCUGGUAGUCCACACUGUAAACGAUGAUUACUAGGUGUGGGAGGUCUGACCCCUUCUGUGCCGCAGUUAACGCAAUAAGUAAUCCACCUGGGGAGUACGGCCGCAAGGCUGAA
rnacentral:rRNA from 1 species